rnacentral:rRNA from 1 species
UACGGAAGGGGCAAGCGUUGUUCGGAAUCAUUGGGCGUAAAGGGCGCGUAGGUGGUUCUGUAUGUCUACCGUGAAAGCAUACAGCUCAACUGUAUUUUGUCGGUAGAAACUGCAGGACUUGAGGCUGGGAGGGGCUGGUGGAAUUCCCUGUGUAGCGGUGAAAUGCGCAGAUAUCGGGAGGAACACCAGUAGCGAAGGCGGCUCGCUGGGCCGUUCCUGACGCUGAGACGCGAAAGCUAGGGGAGCGAACAGG